rnacentral:rRNA from 1 species
GACGAACGCUGGCGGCGUGCUUAACACAUGCCAGUCGAACGGCAAGGCCCUGCUUGUGUGGGGUGCUCGAGUGGCGAACGGGUGCGUAACACGUGAGUAACCUGCCCUUGACUUUGGGAUAACUUCAGGAAACUGGGGCUAAUACCGGAUAGCAGCCCCUGCUGCAUGGUGGGGGUUGGAACGUCUCGGCGGGUGGGGAUGGACUCGCGGCUUAUCAGCUUGCUGGUGGGGUAGUGGCUUACCAAGGCAUUGACGGGUAGCCGGCCUGAGAGGGUGACCGGCCACAUUGGGACUGAGAUACGGCCCAGACUCGUACGGGAGGCAGCAGUGGGGAAUAUUGCACAAUGGGAGGAAGCCGGAGGAAGCAACGCCGGGGGCGGGAUGACGGCCUUCGGGUUGUAAACCGCUUUCGCCUGUGACGAAGCGGGAGUGACGGUAAUGGGUAAAGAAGCACCGGCUAACUACGUG